rnacentral:ncRNA from 13 species
CUCUUAUCGCGAGCUGGCUGAGGGACUGGCCCUAUGAUGCCCGGCAACCGGCGCUAUUUUUUUCUUGAAUAGCGAAACGGUGCUAAUUCCAACGGAUAAGAGUCGGUACGAAAAGCGGCAUUGCUGCGUCUUCUGUCCCGACUACUGACCCGAGAGAUGAGAG